rnacentral:sRNA from 1 species
AAGAGUUAGUCACUGUCAUUACCCCCAUUGUUGGGAUAUGGGAAUACUAAUGAUGA